rnacentral:rRNA from 1 species
UGGGGAAUAUUGCACAAUGGGCGAAAGCCUGAUGCAGCAACGCCGCGUGAGUGAUGAAGGUCUUCGGAUUGUAAAGCUCUGUCUUUUGGGACGAUAAUGACGGUACCAAAGGAGGAAGCCACGGCUAACUACGUGCCAGCAGCCGCGGUAAUACGUAGGUGGCGAGCGUUGUCCGGAUUUACUGGGCGUAAAGGGUGCGUAGGCGGAUGUUUAAGUGAGAUGUGAAAUACCCGGGCUUAACUUGGGUGCUGCAUUUCAAACUGGAUAUCUAGAGUGCAGGAGAGGAGAAUGGAAUUCCUAGUGUAGCGGUGAAAUGCGUAGAGAUUAGGAAGAACACCAGUGGCGAAGGCGAUUCUCUGGACUGUAACUGACGCUGAGGCANGAAAGCGUGGGGUAGCAAACAGGAUUAGA